GAGCUAACGCAUUAAGCAUUCCGCCUGGGGAGUACGACCGCAAGGUUGAAACUCAAAGGAAUUGACGGGGGCCCGCACAAGCGGUGGAGCAUGUGGUUUAAUUCGAAGCAACGCGAAGAACCUUACCAGGUCUUGACAUCUUUUGAUCACCUGAGAGAUCAGGUUUCCCCUUCGGGGGCAAAAUGACAGGUGGUGCAUGGUUGUCGUCAGCUCGUGUCGUGAGAUGUUGGGUUAAGUCCCGCAACGAGCGCAACCCUUAUGACUAGUUGCCAGCAUUUAGUUGGGCACUCUAGUAAGACUGCCGGUGACAAACCGGAGGAAGGUGGGGAUGACGUCAAAUCAUCAUGCCCCUUAUGACCUGGGCUACACACGUGCUACAAUGGAUGGUACAACGAGUUGCGAGACCGCGAGGUCAAGCUAAUCUCUUAAAGCCAUUCUCAGUUCGGACUGUAGGCUGCAACUCGCCUACACGAAGUCGGAAUCGCUAGUAAUCGCGGAUCAGCACGCCGCGGUGAAUACGUUCCCGGGCCUUGUACACACCGCCCGUCACACCAUGAGAGUUUGUAACACCCGAAGCCGGUGGCGUAACCCUUUUAGGGAGCGAGCCGUCUAAGGUGGGACAAAUGAUUAGGGUGAAGUCGUACAGGGUAAACCCGUAAAAAAGGGGAGACCCCAAGGGUCCAGACCCUGCGCGGAAGUUUAA
rnacentral:rRNA from 1 species